rnacentral:rRNA from 1 species
UUAAAUUGAAGAGUUUGAUCAUGGCUCAGAUUGAACGCUGGCGGCAGGCCUAACACAUGCAAGUCGAGCGGUAGCACAGAGAGCUUGCUCUCGGGUGACGAGCGGC